UGAAAACCCCGACUUCGGAAGGGGUGUAUUUAUUAGAUAAAAAACCAACGCCCUUCGGGGCUCCUUGGUGAUUCAUGAUAACUUAACGGAUCGCAUGGCCUUGCGCCGGCGACGGUUCAUUCAAAUUUCUGCCCUAUCAACUUUCGAUGGUAAGGUAUUGGCUUACCAUGGUUUCAACGGGUAACGGGGAAUUAGGGUUCGAUUCCGGAGAGGGAGCCUGAGAAACGGCUACCACAUCCAAGGAAGGCAGCAGGCGCGCAAAUUACCCAAUCCCGACGCGGGGAGGUAGUGACAAUAAAUACUGAUACAGGGCUCUUUUGGGUCUUGUAAUCGGAAUGAGUACAAUUUAAACCCCUUAACGAGGAACAAUUGGAGGGCAAGUCUGGUGCCAGCAGCCGCGGUAAUUCCAGCUCCAAUAGCGUAUAUUAAAGUUGUUGCAGUUAAAAAGCUCGUAGUUGAACCUUGGGCCUGGCUGGCCGGUCCGCCUCACCGCGUGCACUGGUCCGGCCGGGCCUUUCCUUCUGGAGAGCCCCAUGCCCUUCAUUGGGCGUGCGGGGGAACCAGGACUUUUACUUUGAAAAAAUUAGAGUGUUCAAAGCAGGCCUUUGCUCGAAUACGUUAGCAUGGAAUAAUAGAAUAGGACGUGCGAUCCUAUUUUGUUGGUUUCUAGGACCGCCGUAAUGAUUAAUAGGGACAGUCGGGGGCAUCAGUAUUCAAUAGUCAGAGGUGAAAUUCUUGGAUUUAUUGAAGACUAACUACUGCGAAAGCAUUUGCCAAGGAUGUUUUCAUUAAUCAGUGAACGAAAGUUAGGGGAUCGAAGACGAUCAGAUACCGUCGUAGUCUUAACCGUAAACUAUGC
rnacentral:rRNA from 1 species